rnacentral:rRNA from 1 species
CCUACGGGUGGCUGCAGUGGGGAAUAUUGGACAAUGGGCGAAAGCCUGAUCCAGCCAUGCCGCGUGUGUGAAGAAGGCCUUCGGGUUGUAAAGCACUUUCAGUGGGGAAGAAAGCCUUGGGGCUAAUACCCUCGAGGAAGGACAUCACCCACAGAAGAAGCACCGGCUAACUCCGUGCCAGCAGCCGCGGUAAAACGGAGGGUGCGAGCGUUAAUCGGAAUUACUGGGCGUAAAGCGCGCGUAGGCGGUCUGAUAAGCCGGUUGUGAAAGCCCCGGGCUCAACCUGGGAACGGCAUCCGGAACUGUCAGGCUAGAGUGCAGGAGAGGAAGGUAGAAUUCCCGGUGUAGCGGUGAAAUGCGUAGAGAUCGGGAGGAAUACCAGUGGCGAAGGCGGCCUUCUGGACUGACACUGACGCUGAGGUGCGAAAGCGUGGGUAGCAAACAGGAUUAGAUACCCCGGUAGUC